AAGCGAAGAAACAAGCUGGUUUUUCAAGAUUUUUCUGUUGCGCUCCAAAGAGUGGAUGGGGCGUGAACUGAAUUUGUUAUAAUCAAUCUUUUGACACUAGACAUAGUCCAUCGAUAUUUUAGGCUAUGGAGUCCAGUAUAGCAGGCUGAACUGAAAUAACCUAUACGUAACGGGAGGUUUUCAACACGCCCAAAGCAAGCAUCCACUGCGCACCGCCAGACUGCCUCACGGAGAACACUCACAUAAUUGUCCCUAAAAGCGGUUUCCAACCCACCGAAGAGACAGAGCAACCAAUCAUUCAAGCGCCGCAACUGAUGUGCUCGCAUAUGAAGUGGUCACUACCAGUGAAAAAAACAGCUUGCCAGAGGAAAUCAGACGGUCGAUUGAGAGUGUGAGAAGCACACAGAAAAGAUGAGCACAAGAAGGGGAUAGAUAAAAGGAAAGAGAAAAACGUGGAGCGCCUGGACCAACCCCUAAUAAGGACUUCCGACAUAUUGAAUAACCUCCGAAAAGUUGUUAGAAAGAACAACCAACACUUUGGAACAUUUUUGAAAUAUUUUCCUCCUGGUUUGAUUUCAGAAUAAUUUAGCGAGAAGUGAAGCUUCCUGCUGUUUUUCUGUUUUUCAUAAACCCCUGACUCAUUUUGGACCAC
ensembl:lncRNA